AUCAUAAAGUCUUAAAAGAGAAUAGAUAGCAUUACAUUGCAUGUAGUAACACAUGCGAUCAUACCAGCACUAAUGCACCGGAUCCCAUCAGAACUCCGCAGUUAAGGGUGCUUGGGCGAGAGUAGUACUAGGAUGGGUGACUUCCCGGAAAGUCCUCGUGUUGCAUCCCUC
rnacentral:rRNA from 1 species